UGAGGCCCCAGGUCUGGUUUGGUGCUCCUUCUGUCACAACUGGAGGUCCAGGGUGAGACACCACCUUCUGGUGGAUCUGCUUACCCAAGAUGAGUCAGGAGGGUGAUCCACAAACACAGCCCUGUUUCCUCUAUGUGGAAUUCAAGGAGUUGAAGUUGCCUAACAAUGCAGCUAGGCAACUGUCCCAGCAGCUGUUUAAAGAGACACUGAAAAUCAUCUGCUUCAGCAUUAUUUCGUUUGGUUUCCCGCAUUUCACUUUUGAUUUUGUUUGGAGAUGUUUUGG